CCUGUACUUUCUUUAAUUGUGAUGGAGUGACGGAGAAGGAUAAGCAUACCUAUUAUUGGAUUUAGGGGUAAGUAGUUACUGGUGAUUGUAGGCAAAUCCGCAAUCUAUAACCGGGAGCUAUGAUGCAUAGGACAAUUGUCUGAAUUUGCCAAUUCCAUGCUUCCUAGAAAAGCUUCUAAACUUAAUGUUAUUGAAACCUGUACCGAGAACGGACACACGUCCCCAAGAUGAGUAUUCUAAGGCGAGCGAGAAAACUAGUGUUAAGGAACUCUGCAAAAUGACCCCGUAAGUUCGCAAGAAGGGGCGCCUAUGGUAACACAUAGGCCACAGUAAAUUAUGAGGGGCAACUGUUUAUCAAAAACACAACUCUCUGCUAAACCGCAAGGUGAUGUAUAGGGGGUGAAGCCUGCCCAGUGCCCGAAGGUUAAGUGGAUGCGUUAG
rnacentral:rRNA from 2 species